CAGGUAGGUGGUUUGGUAAGUCUGUUGUGUAAGCUCCUGGCUUAACCGGGAGAGGUCAACAGAAACUACCAGACUUGAGUGUAGGAGAGGGUACUGGAAUUCCCGGUGUAGCGGUGAAAUGCGCAGAGAUCGGGAGGAACACCAAUGGCGAAAGCAGGUACCUGGACUAUUACUGACACUGAGCUGCGAAAGCUAGGGGAGCAAACAGGAUUAGAUACCCUGGUAGUCCUAGCCGUAAACGAUGCACAUUAGACGUGAGGGGUAUCGACCCCCUUCGUGUCGACGCAAACGCAUUAAAUGUGCCGCCUGGGGAGUACGGCCGCAAGGUUGAA
rnacentral:rRNA from 1 species